GGGCCGGUAGCUCAGCCUGGAAGAGUGCCCGGUUGGCAUCCGGGAGGUCCCGGGUUCAAAUCCCGGCCGGUCCA
rnacentral:tRNA from 1 species